AAGUUUCAACAACGGAUCUCUUGGCUCUCGCAUCGAUGAAGAACGCAGCGAAAUGCGAUAAGUAAUGUGAAUUGCAGAAUUCAGUGAAUCAUCGAAUCUUUGAACGCACCUUGCGCUCCUUGGUAUUCCUUGGAGCAUGCCUGUUUGAGUAUCAUGAAAUCUUCAAAGUCAAUCUUUUGUUAAUUCAAUUGGUUGUGCUUUGGUAUUGGAGGUAUAUUGC
rnacentral:rRNA from 1 species